ACGAAUAUCAAAGUCGACCCACCCUGUGCUGGUGCUUUGCACAUGUGCACGUCUGGGUCGCAAAUCCACACACCUGUGCAUAUCUGACUUUGAGUGCUUUUCCUCUAUGAGGGGUUUGAUCACCAUCAAACCAGCACUCGAGUAUUUUCACACGCUCUGAAUGGAAAAGAAUGUAUAUUGUGCAUAAUGUGCAAACAAAA
rnacentral:misc_RNA from 1 species